UACGUAGGCAGCAAGCGUUGUUCGGAAUUACUGGGCGUAAAGAGUGUGUAGGCGGUGUCGUAAGUUUGGCGUGAAAUCUCCCGGCUUAACUGGGAGGGUGCGCCGAAGACUGCGAUGCUUGAGGAUCGGAGAGGAAAGUGGAAUUUCUGGUGUAGCGGUGAGAUGCGUAGAUAUCAGAAGGAACACCUGUGGUGUAGACGGCUUUCUGGACGAUUCCUGACGCUGAGACACGAAAGCGUGGGUAGCAAACAGG
rnacentral:rRNA from 1 species